CCUGCCCCGAAGUGGACAGCGACUGGAUGUGGACGGUUUUGCUUGCUCUGACUUUUCUGCCUCUGUUUGCCCUAUCUCAGUUUUUUCCUCUGAGCUCUCUGAGUCCUCUGCCUCAAAAACUGCAUCUUGAUCUUUUUCAUCAGACAACUCAAUAUCUGAGUUUUCAUGAACAAUUCGCAGUAACAUUCUCUCUACCUCUGACAGUGAAUACCUUCCUUCGUAAUUGAAAAUACAGAGAAAAAAAGAUUCUUCCAGUGAUCCCUACAGUACUGACUAGAUUCUCCUCAGCCAUGCCAUCCUAUAGCAUGUGUCCCUGGGUCCUGCUGUUAUCUGUGCUGAAGGUCAUAACCGUGCCUGUAUCGACUUCUUCAAUAAAGGUGAAUCUUCAUGACAAUGCUACUCUCCCCUGCACUCAGACAUGUUCUGGUCUGGUCACAUGGACUGUGUCCCAUAAACAACAUGACAUUCUGGCUCAGUGUGACCGGAUAUCCUGUCAGUCAAAGGAGGGAUUUUACAUGUCCCAUGAUCAGUACCUGAAGGGAGAUCUCUCCCUCACCAUCACUGAUGUUGAUUACACUAAGAGGACCUGGUACACCUGUGAGUGUGAUGGUGUAGACAUCUGUGAUAUGAGCCUAGGGAUAGAGGCAUUGAGUUCUUCAGUUUGGAUCAAGUCCAAUGAAAAUCUGGUGCUGGAUUUGACCAUAUCAGAGUCAGUGAAGGUGAUUUAUAACAGCACAGGUGCAGCUGCUCCCUCUAGUGGACAAAUCUGCACAGUGGCUGGAAGCUCAUUACAAUGUAAAGAUGAAUACACCCAGAGAGCAUCUCUUAUCUCUGCUGUUGAGCUGAGAGAAACAGCACCAUCUGAUAGUGGAGUUUACACGAUCUGGGACACCAGUAAUGAAGAGGUCAUUCACACAUACACAGUUACUGUUGAAGAAGUCCAGCCGUGUCCAGAUCAGAGCUCCACAGUGACGGUGUUGGCGGUGCUCCUGGCUCUGAUGGGGGCAGGGCUUGUGGCAGCAGGGCUGGUGAUUGUGCAGCUGAGGAAAAAAAUCAGCAGCUCCAGAAAGGAGGGAAUCUGUUGAAGACGCUGAUGAACAUGUCUCCUGUGAGGGGGCUUUUUCAGCGAGUCAUAAAGGACACAAGGGCGUUUCUGAAACAGGAAGUCACUCUGGCUACGUCUACCUUACCCAUAUCCUCUCCUGCAUGCAUACAUACACAACAACAAAAUCAACAUCAUCGCACCAGCUGGACCAGCACACACACACAGGAGCAGUGUGUGGGUGUGUUAUACUACACCUGUGUGGCAGGAAUGUGUGCUGUAUCCGUUUCCUUCACCACACCCCUCAACACUUUAACCAGAUAGAGUGUAGCAGAGAGAGACACACACACAUACCCACACACACAGUAUGAAUCACAACCAUCUAAACUGGCUGAGUUUUCCUGUGUUCAUUUCAUGGUUCACCUUUGCCUGCACCACUUCACUCUGAGAAGCAGCACAGUGAACAGCAUCAUCUGUUGCGGAUGAUCUGAGACACAAUGGCACCAUGAAGACCAGGAGGAUAUGAGCUGUAUACAAGACUUCAUGUAUAAACAAAUGAACAGAAUUAGGAGCUGCUGUUCUGUAAGCAGAGUUUAGUUCCAGCUCCACUUCACGAGAUCUACUGCCCUGCAGACUCUAAUUGCAAGUAUCUCUACAUGAUUUACACAUACAUUAACCCACCAUAAACAGUCAUUAAUGAAAUAUGACAAAAAAUCUUAGGUGUUUUUCUGGCAUAACUCCCACAAUAGCCACCAUAGUGCAUUAUAAAUUCUCUCUCUUUUCUAACUCUCAACUACACGAACAAUCCAAUCUGCAAUACCUAGCAUCAGUUUCUGAUUGGCUGUGUGCAAGUAAAUCAGGCUGUUCCUCAAAGAUGCAUAAGUUUAUGUAGAGAUUUAGGUUGUGCUGCUUCUCUCAACUAACUGUUUGACCUUUCAAGCACUUUAUUUCUGCCUUGAACCUAAACUAUUUACACAGCUAUUACAGACAGGUCUACCAGCUAUAUCUGAUACUAUGGGAUCAAUACAGAGUAGACAAGAAAUUAAACUGAAUUCAUACUAUCAUCAUAACAUGCCUGUGACGGUGCAAUUAGCAAAAAGAUUUAUUACAUACACACCUACAGGCCGUGUCUGAUUCCAUAAUGUACAGAAGUUUUAUGCUUGCAUUUUAUCAGUGAUGAAAGUGUUAGUCUGGGGAAAAAAGGUGAAAAAUUAAAGCCAGCCUUAACCUCAUUGGUCUGUGUGAUCAUUUGUGUGUUGUGAUUGGCUAGUCAUCAUUUUGGUUCCUGUGUACAUUAGUUGGUCCAUUUCUUCUUCCUUUCUCUUUGUCCUGAAUGUGUUUUAUUUGGAGUAUGUGAUGUGCUUUGAUAUGAAUUUGUAACAGUUUUAGGAAGACUGACGUCGCUGCUGUUGU
ensembl:lncRNA